rnacentral:rRNA from 1 species
UACGAAGGGGCUAGCGUUGCUCGGAAUCACUGGGCGUAAAGGGUGCGUAGGCGGGUUCUUAAGUCAGAGGUGAAAUCCUGGAGCUCAACUCCAGAACUGCCUUUGAUACUGAGAGUCUUGAGUACGGGAGAGGUGAGUGGAACUGCGAGUGUAGAGGUGAAAUUCGUAGAUAUUCGCAAGAACACCAGUGGCGAAGGCGGCUCACUGGCCCGUUACUGACGCUGAGGCACGAAAGCGUGGGGAGCAACAGGG